rnacentral:rRNA from 4 species
AGAGUUUGAUCCUGGCUCAGAUUGAACGCUGGCGGCAGGCCUAACACAUGCAAGUCGAGCGGAUGACGGGAGCUUGCUCCUUGAUUCAGCGGCGGACGGGUGAGUAAUGCCUAGGAAUCUGCCUGGUAGUGGGGGACAACGUUUCGAAAGGAACGCUAAUACCGCAUACGUCCUACGGGAGAAAGCAGGGGACCUUCGGGCCUUGCGCUAUCAGAUGAGCCUAGGUCGGAUUAGCUAGUUGGUGGGGUAAUGGCUCACCAAGGCGACGAUCCGUAACUGGUCUGAGAGGAUGAUCAGUCACACUGGAACUGAGACACGGUCCAGACUCCUACGGGAGGCAGCAGUGGGGAAUAUUGGACAAUGGGCGAAAGCCUGAUCCAGCCAUGCCGCGUGUGUGAAGAAGGUCUUCGGAUUGUAAAGCACUUUAAGUUGGGAGGAAGGGCAGUAAGUUAAUACCUUGCUGUUUUGACGUUACCGACAGAAUAAGCACCGGCUAACUCUGUGCCAGCAGCCGCGGUAAUAC